rnacentral:rRNA from 1 species
UGGGGAAUAUUGCACAAUGGGGGGAAACCCUGAUGCAGCGACGCCGCGUGAGCGAAGAAGUAUUUCGGUAUGUAAAGCUCUAUCAGCAGGGAAGAAAUUGACGGUACCUGAGUAAGAAGCUCCGGCUAAAUACGUGCC